rnacentral:lncRNA from 1 species
UCAAGACAUAGGAAGAUAUAUUCUCACAACAAAAAUUAUGGCAGCAGGCGUAUAUCAACAAGUAUGUGUUUUCUGAGGUGACCAACACGGGUCAGAUACAGCCAUCGUGUGAAGGAGAAGAUCACCAGUGUUGACUCAGAGAAGAGAUUAUAUCCAAAGAAAAAUAAAAGACACGGAGGUAGAUUCGCCUUGAGUUGGUCACGGCUGCCUCACCCGCCCCGGCAUCUCCUUG